AAAUUUCAUCUUCUCCAUUAAUUGAAAAUCUUGAAUAUAAACAAAUUCACCAUUGUAGAUAAUUGGACAAAACGAUUCACGAUUUCGAAUCAUCAAUCCGAAAUCGUCAAGUAUAAGAAAUCGUCGAGAAAUAUGAAAAUCAAUAUAGCAGACAAAAUUGAUUGGACAAAUAAUUUUUUUUUUGAAUCUCAAAUUCGCCAUUGCGGAUGAGAUCUAAUCAAUGAAAUGAUCUGUUAAUCAUGAAGAAUUUGAGAUUGAAGAAGUCAAAAAAGAGGAUGCAUACUCGAGCUUGAAAUAUACUAUUGAGAAAUGUUGCUCAAAAAAGAAGGAAAAAUUUGAUCCGUCAUAAAACAAUCUUCACUAUCAAAAGAUGGAGAUCUACAAUGUAUCUCGUUUAUUUUGAUUCUUAAAUUAGUCUUUGUUAGUGUUAUUAAUGAUUUGAUACAUCACUACUAUACACUUCGUUUUAUGCAAUGUAUCAUCUCCUAAUAUUUCGGCCAAAUCUACCCAAGGUAAAUGAGUUUUGAUCUAUUUCUGUGAUCUUUCGAUUA